rnacentral:lncRNA from 1 species
AUGUUACUCAAGGUGUUAGACCACUUGAAAAGUGAAGGCCUAAAACUGUUCCUUGACAAGUGUCAGUUUUGCCGCACAUAUGUCAACUAUGUUGGACAUAUCAUAUCCCAGAAUGGAGUGGCUACAGACCCGUCAAAGAGUGAAGCUGUCACCACGUGGCCAAGACCUGAAACUGUGACUGCUCUGCGUUCUUUCCUAGGAUUCUGUGGAUAUUACAGAAGAUUUGUCAAAGACUAUUCUAAAGUGAGUUACCCCCUGAAUAAGCUCUUAUGCGGAUAUCUUCCCUCUGCCAAGAAAGUAAGAAAGUCCAAGGAAGAGGAGAAAGCCUACCUCAACCUCUCAGAACCAUGUGGAUCAAGGUGGGAUGAGAAGUGUGAAUUGGCAUUCGAGACAUUGAAGGAAAACCUCACAAAAGCUCCUGUGUUGGCCUUUUCUGAUCCUCAGUUGCCAUACGUUCUAUAUGUAGAUGCUAGCCGCGAAGGGUUACGUGGAGUACUUUACCAAGAGACAACUUUACCAACAGACAACCACCCAUUGACAUAUGUCCCCACGUCCCCAAAAUUGGAUGCCACUGGUCAUCGUUGGCUAGCUGCGUUAUCUACCUUUGACUUUAGUCUCAAGUACAGGCAGAACAUAGAUGCCGAUGCUUUAUCUCACCGCUCUCAUCAGCAAUCUGCAGUGGAACAAGAUUGGAGAGACAUUCCUGCAUCUGGUGUCCGAGCCAUGUGCCAGAUGUCUAAUGUUGUUAGAGUAACUCCUGGAUCAUCUAGUAGAGUGAUUGAUCAGUUGGGAGCCUCUAUGCAUGCUGUGCUUCAAGCAUACUGUAACCUGAGCAUACUGAAGUCUCACAUGUCCAGAUUGAGCACUAUGGAACUUUCUGCAUCACAACAAGAAGACCCUUGCUUAGGAGAGAUGUGGGUUGCUCUUAAUCAACAUGAUAUUACCAGGGUGACAAUGACCAAACAUCCAUUCAUCUCUUUGCUCCUGAGAGAGUGGGAGAAGCUAAAGAUGGAAGAUGGAGUUAUGCACAGGAUCACACAUCCGCCAAACAAAACUCAUCAUGCUCAGCUACUACUUCCAGAGAAGUUCAGAACUAUGGUCCUCAAGUCGCUGCAUGAUGACUCAGGUCAUUUAGGAUUUGACAAAACCUAUGGCCUUUCAGAGACCGGUUCUACUGGCCACGCAUGA